UGUAAACGAUGUCGAUUGGAGUUUGUUGCCUAGAGUGAUGGGCUCCGAAGCUAACGCGAUAAAUCGACGGCUGGGGAGUACGGCCGCAAGGUUAAAACUCAAAUGAAUUGACGGGGGCCCGCACAAGCGGUGGAGCAUGUGGUUUAAUUCGAUGCAACGCGAAGAACCUUACCUGGUCUUGACAUCCAUAGAAUUCUGCAGAGAUGUGGGAGUGCCUUCGGGAACUAUGAGACAGGUGCUGCAUGGCUGUCGUCAGCUCGUGUUGUGAAAUGUUGGGUUAAGUCCCGCAACGAGCGCAACCCUUAUUCUUUGUUGCCAGCGAUUUGGUCGGGAACUCAAAGGAGACUGCCGUUGAUAAAGCGGAGGAAGGUGGGGACGACGUCAAGUCAUCAUGGCCCUUACGACCAGGGCUACACACGUGCUACAAUGGCGUAUACAAAGGGAAGCGAAGGUGCGAGCUGGAGCGGAUCUCAUAAAGUACGUCUAAGUUCGGAUUGGAGUCUGCAACUCGACUCCAUGAAGUCGGAAUCGCUAGUAAUCGUAGAUCAGAAUGCUACGGUGAAUACGUUCCCGGGCCUUGUACACACCGCCCGUCACACCAUGGGAGUGGGUUGCACCAGAAGUAGAUAGCUUAACCGCGAGGGGGGCGUUUACCACGGUGUGAUUCAUGACUGGGGUGAAGUCGUAACAAGGUAACCA
rnacentral:rRNA from 1 species